rnacentral:rRNA from 1 species
UGGGGAAUAUUGCACAAUGGACGGAAGUCUGAUGCAGCAACGCCGCGUGCGGGAUGACGGCCUUCGGGUUGUAAACCGCUUUUUCUCAUGACGAAGUUUUUUGACGGUAGUGGGGGAAGAAGCACCGGCUAACUACGUGCCAGCAGCCGCGGUGAUACGUAGGGUGCGAGCGUUGUCCGGAAUUAUUGGGCGUAAAGAGCUUGUAGGCGGUUUGUCGCGUCGAUAGUGCAAACUCAGUGCUUAACGCUGAGCCUGCUGUUGAUACGGGCAGACUAGAGGAAGGUAGGGGAGAAUGGAAUUCCCGGUGGAGCGGUGGAAUGCGCAGAUAUCGGGAGGAACACCGGUGGCGAAGGCGGUUCUCUGGGCCUUUCCUGACGCUGAGAAGCGAAAGCGUGGGGAGCGAACAG